CCUACGGGAGGCAGCAGUGGGGAAUAUUGGACAAUGGGGGGAACCCUGAUCCAGCGACGCCGCGUGAGUGAAGAAGUAUUUCGGUAUGUAAAGCUCUAUCAGCAGGGAAGAAAAUGACGGUACCUGACUAAGAAGCCCCGGCUAACUACGUGCCAGCAGCCGCGGUAAUACGUAGGGGGCAAGCGUUAUCCGGAUUUACUGGGGGUAAAAGGAGCGUAGACGGUGCAGCAAGUCUGAUGUGAAAGGUCGGGGCCCAACCCCGGGACGGAAUUGGAAACGGUUGGACUGGAGUAAAGGAGUGGGAAGCGGAAUGCGGGGUGCAGCGGUGAAAGGCGUAGAUAUUAGGAGGAACAC
rnacentral:rRNA from 1 species